rnacentral:rRNA from 1 species
UAAGCAUAUCAAUAAGCGGAGGAAAAGAAACCAACAGGGAUUACCUCAGUAACGGCGAGUGAAGCGGUAACAGCUCAAAUUUGAAAUCUGGGCCUUUCAGGCUCCGAGUUGUAAUUUGUAGAAGAUGCUUUGGGUGCGGCCCCGGUCUAAGUUCCUUGGAACAGGACGUCAUAGAGGGUGAGAAUCCCGUAUGUGAUCGGUGGCUUGCGCCCGUGUAAAGCUCUUUCGACGAGUCGGGUUGUUUGGGAAUGCACGCUCUAAAUGGGUGGUAAAUUUCAUCUAAAGCUAAAUAUUGGCCAGAGACCGAUAGCGCACAAGUAGAGUGAUCGAAAGAUGAAAAGCACUUUGGAAAGAGAGUUAAACAGUACGUGAAAUUGUUGAAAGGGAAGCGCUUGCAACCAGACUUGCGCGGGGUUGAUCAUCCGGGGUUCUCCCCGGUGCACUCGGCCCCGCUCAGGCCAGCAUCGGUUUUGGUGGUUGGAUAAAGGCCUUGGGAAUGUGACUUCUUUCGGGGAGUGUUAUAGCCCUCGGUGCAAUGCAGCCUACCGGGACCGAGGACCGCGCUUCGGCUAGGAUGCUGGCGUAAUGGGUUGUAAGCGACCCGUCUUGAAACACGGACCAAGGAGUCUAACAUCUAUGCGAGUGUUUGGGUGUCAAACCCAUGCGCGUAAUGAAAGUGAACGGAGGUGAGAACCCUUAAGGGCGCAUCAUCGACCGAUCCUGAUGUCUUCGGAUGGAUUUGAGUAAGAGCAUAGCUGUUGGGACCCGAAAGAUGGUGAACUAUGCCUGAAUAGGGUGAAGCCAGAGGAAACUCUGGUGGAGGCUCGCAGCGGUUCUGACGUGCAAAUCGAUCGUCAAAUUUGGGCAUAGGGGCGAAAGACUAAUCGAACCAUCUAGUAGCUGGUUCCUGCCGAA